rnacentral:rRNA from 1 species
AGAAUCAACGCUGGCGGCGUGCCUAACACAUGCAAGUCGAACGAGAAAGUGGAGCAAUCCAUGAGUAAAGUGGCGACCGGGUGAGUAACACGCGACUAACCUACCUUCGAGUGGGGGAUAACCUCGGGAAAACCGAGGCUAAUACCGCAUAACAUCGCAAGAUCAAAGCAGCAAUGCGCUGGAAGAGGGGUCGCGGCUGAUUAGCUAGUUGGCGGGGUAACGGCCCACCAAGGCGAAGAUCGGUA